rnacentral:rRNA from 1 species
GACGAACGCUGGCGGCGUGCUUAACACAUGCAAGUCGAACGGAAAGGCCCUGCUUUUGUGGGGUGCUCGAGUGGCGAACGGGUGCGUAACACGUGAGUAACCUGCCCUUGACUUUGGGAUAACUUCAGGAAACUGGGGCUAAUACCGGAUAGGAGCUCCUGCUGCAUGGAGGGGGUUGGAAAGUUUCGGCGGUUGGGGAUGGACUCGCGGCUUAUCAGCUUGUUGGUGGGGUAGUGGCUUACCAAGGCUUUGACGGGUAGCCGGCCUGAGAGGGUGACCGGCCACAUUGGGACUGAGAGACGGACCAGACUCCUACGGGGGGCAGCAGUGGGGAAUAUGGCACAAUGGGCGGAAGCCUGAUGCAGCAACGCCGCGUGCGGGAUGACGGCCUUCGGGUUGUAAACCGCUUUCGCCUGUGACGAAGCGUGAGUGACGGUAAUGGGUAAAGAAGCACCGGCUAACUACGUG